UACGUAGGGACCAAGCGUUGUUCGGAUUUACUGGGCGUAAAGGGCGCGUAGGCGGGCUGUCAAGUCUGGGGUGAAAUGCCGCGGCUCAACCGUGGAACUGCCUCAGAUACUGACGGCCUCGAGGAAGGUAGGGGCAUGCGGAACUGUAGGUGGAGCGGUGAAAUGCGUUGAUAUCUACAGGAACUCCGGUGGCGAAAGCGGCGUGCUGGACCUUUUCUGACGCUGAGGCGCGAAAGCUAGGGGAGCAAACGGG
rnacentral:rRNA from 1 species